rnacentral:lncRNA from 10 species
UCAGGCCCAUUCUGGGCUUUUCCAGAAGGGUCUGAAGCCAGUCUUGUAGAGGGCUGGAGUGGUUGUUGGACGACUAGAACCCUGGGCUUUGCAGGGUGCUGGGAGCUGGAAGUCUUCACCAUGGCCUGUCAGGAGAAGCCCCUGGGGGCUGGUCUACCAUGCUGACCAGUGGUUGAAUAGAGUGCCUGCUGAGGUCAAGAGAUGCAGCCGCCAAUUCCUGGACAACCUAAAAGCCUCACAAGCUUCAAGUCUCCAAGGACUCUCCAAAUCCCAGGAUCUCCCUGCCAUCACAUCCUAGAAUUUAAAACCUGAGAACAUCAAGUUCAGGAAAGCUUGGGGAUUUCAAAGCCCAGCACCAAAGAAAGCGGGACCCACACUCGCCAGCUCUGUGAUCUUGGGCAAGUUGCUUGACUACUUAUACCUCCGUUUCCCUCAUCUGUAUAACAGGAAUACAAUAAUGAUGAGAUGGAGCUCAAGGGGCCAUGGUGAGGAUUGAACAUGAUCACUUGUGAGACAUGUUCAGCACUGUAUCUGACCCAUGGAAAAUUCAAGAUAAACAUCAGCUACUGAGAUGAUGGCGGAUAUUUGGAAUCCUAAAUCCUUGGAAACUGGGGCUUUUUGAAGUAAAAGACCCCAAAGGCUGAGGGCCUCAGAAGCAUCAGGCCAUGAUGUUCCUGAAACAAGAGGGUCAGGGUCCCAAUGGGCCUCUGGGGUUCAUCGUGAGGAUGGAUGCAUUAAUAUUGGGGACCUGCUAGGGACCUUCCCAGUGGGACAGUGGCUGGGUCAGGGCACUCAAGCCCUAAAACGUGAUGAGGCGAGACUUUUCUCUCUUUCCUCAUUCAGUAACUGUCAGUAGAUUCUGGGAGCCAGGGAUUCUCCGACUCUUCAAGUCCAUGAAUUUUAGGGGAUGACAGUGGGCUCUCCGCUUUCUCCUCCAUGAAGUAACUUACAUGCCCCUCACCCUCUGUGGGAGGGGUGUUGCAGGGGGUGCAGAACUCCCCUCGCCGGGUAGUUCAAGCAAUGGGGACCAUAUCAAUUCCAUCUAUAGGGAAACUGAGGCCUGGAGUAGGGCGAGGCCUCUGGGAACCCAGCCCUAUUCUGUCUCUUUCCCUGGCAUUUCCCAUCCACACAUAGAGCUUCAGAUUCUCUUUCUUUCCCCAGAGACCCUCAAAUAUCCUC